UAGCAUCUAGUUAGCUAGCUAUGCUAACGGAAUAAAGAGCUGUUUCUACACCAAGGUGGAGGAGAGUCCUCUCCUGUCAGACUGAGAGGAUCUUAUAACGUCAGCUCAGUGAGAGCCGACCCUGGUCAUACUGACCCUUGACAGAGGCGGAGAAGCAGAAGGAGUCGUAGUGGUGGAGGAGGCGAUGUCGUUGUCCAUAGUUGCGCAGACCAGGAGCUAAGUCAUCUCCACCGCAUCCGUCACGAGGGGCUGUGAUUGGAUACUGCACUGUGCCGUCAGCCAACCAGCCGGCGUUACACCAGUCCAGCCCCUCAUCCCACGCCGUGAAGAGCUGCUCAAAUGUAGCCAGUGUGGCCUCCUGAUCCUUGCACGCCUGUUUGGCCUCAAAGAAGUUAAAAAGGUCCACCGUCACACUCUCAUCCUCCAGGCCAUCGAUCACCUCACAGCGGUAUCUCCCCGUGUCGUUGAGCUGCAGCUCGUUGAUCACCAACGACAUGUCGCCUGGGGCCGAGCGUCGCAGGCGGACCCUUCCCUUAAAGCUGCCGUAGCUGCGGUGACGGUUGCCCAUGGCCACCAUGACCUCCGUUUCCAUGGCGAGGGCUU